rnacentral:rRNA from 1 species
UGAAUACGAAAUGCUACGGCAUUGAAGUGAUCUAUGCCAGGCUUCCAAGAAAAUCUCGUCAUAUCUUAAGCAGUAGAUGCCUGUACCUUAAACCGACACAGGUAGGUAGGUAGAGUAUACCAAGGGGCGCGAGAUAACUCUCUCUAAGGAACUCGGCAAAAUAACCUCGUAACUUCGGAAGAAGAGGUACCCUUGAAAAAGGGUUGCAAUAACCAGACCCUGGCGACUGUUUACCAAAAACACAGGUCUCCGCUAAUUCGUAAGAUCAAGUAUGGAGGCUGACGCCUGCCCAGUGCCGGAAGGUUAAAGAAGUUGGUCAAUCUUUGGAUGAAGCUGGCGACUGAAGCCCCGGUGAACGGCGGCCGUAACUAUAACGGUCCUAAGGUAGCGAAGUUCCUUGUCGGGUAAGUUCCGACCCGCACGAAAGGCGUAACGAUCAGGGUGCUGUCUCGGAGAGAGACUCGGCGAAAUAGACAUGUCUGUGAAGAUGCGGACUACCUGCACCUGGACAGAAAGACCCUAUGAAGCUUUACUGUAUCUUGGAAUUGGGUUUGGGCCUUGCUUGCGCAGGAUAGGUGGGAGGCUGUGAAGAUAUUCUUGCGGGAAUGUUGGAGCCAACGGUGAGAUACCACUCUAGUAAGGCUAAAAUUCUAACUCUGAACCGUUAUCCGGUCAGAGAACAGUUUCAGGUGGGCAGUUUGACUGGGGCGGUCGCCUCCUAAAAGGUAACGGAGGCGCGCAAAGGUCCCCUCAGGCUGGUUGGACAUCAGUCGUAGAGUGUAAAGGCAUAAGGGAGCUUGACUGCGAGACCCACAAGUCGAGCAGAGACGAAAGUCGGCCUUAGUGAUCCGACGGUUCCACGUGGAAGGGCCGUCGCUCAACGGAUAAAAGUUACUCUAAGGAUAACAGGCUGAUCUCCCCCAAGAGUUCACAUCGACGGGGAGUUUUGGCACCUUGAUGUCGGCUCAUCGCAUCCUGGGGCGGUAGUACGUCCCAAGGGUUGGGCUGUUCGCCCAUGAAAGCGGUACGCGAGCUGGGUUCAGAACGUCGUGAGACAGUUCGGUCCAUAUCCGGUGCAGGCGUUAGAGCAUUGAGAGGAGUCCCCCUUAGUACGAGAGGACCGGGGGGAAUACACCGCUGGUGUACCAGUUAUCGUGCCAACGGUAAACGCUGGGUAGCCAUGUGUAGCGCGGAUAACUGCUGAAAGCAUCUAAGUAGGAAGCCCACCUUAAGAUGAGUGCUCUCACCGCUAUAAGCGGGUAAGGUCACGGUAAGAACAACCGUUAUAUAGGCAUUAAGUAUACGUGCAGUAAUGCAUUUAGCUGAGAUGUACUAACAGACCGAGGGCUUGAUAAA